rnacentral:rRNA from 1 species
GACGAACGCUGGCGGCGUGCCUAACACAUGCAAGUCGAGCGGGGUUGAAGCGAGGGGUAACUCGAGUUUCUACCUAGCGGCGGACGGGUGAGUAACGCGUGGGCAACCUGCCUCAAGGACUGGGAUAACAGCUCGAAAGGGCUGCUAAUACCGGAUAAGCCUAUGGCCUCGCAUGGGGCCAUGAGCAAAGGGGAAACCCGCCUUGAGAUGGGCCCGCGUCCCAUCAGCUAGUUGGUGAGGUGAAGGCUCACCAAGGCGACGACGGGUAGCCGGCCUGAGAGGGUGACCGGCCACACUGGGACUGAGACACGGCCCAGACUCCUACGGGGGGCAGCAGUGGGGAAUCUUGCACAAUGGGCGAAAGCCUGAUGCAGCGACGCCGCGUGAGCGAAGAAGGCCUUCGGUUGUAAAGCUCUGUCUGGAGGGACGGAAGGAAGUAGACGGUACGUUCCGGAGGAAGCCACGGCUAACUACGUGCCAGCAGCCGCGGUAAAAGUCAACGUCG